UAGUGUUUAAGAUUAUACACUU
rnacentral:snRNA from 1 species